GCGGUGGACUUGGAUGUGUGCUGCUUGACCGCGGCUCAUCUGAAAUGCAUUAGUGCACCGUUGGGUUGGGCAUAGUACGGCGUGAUAAGUAUCUUCGCCGGCACCUCGCAAGAGGGUGUUCGAUCCUUCCGCUCUGCGCUCCAAACCGUCUCCGCGCGGGGACAAUAUCAUUUGACAACUUGACCUCAAAUCGAGUAGGACUACCCGCUGAACUUAAGCAUAUCAAUAAGCGGAGGAAAAGAAACUAACAAGGAUUCCCCUAGUAACGGCGAGUGAAGAGGGAAGAGCUCAAAUUUUGAAUCUGGCGUCUUCGGCGUCCGAGUUGUAAUCUAGAGAAGUGUUUUCCGCGGCAGACCGUGCACAAGUCUCCUGGAAUGGUGCGUCAUGGAGGGUGAGAAUCCCGUAAAUGGCACGGACUCCUGUUGCUCUGUGAUACACUCUCGACGAGUCGAGUUGUUUGGGAAUGCAGCUCAAAAUGGGUGGUAAAUGCCAUCUAAAGCUAAAUAUUGGCGAGAGACCGAUAGCGAACAAGUACCGUGAGGGAAAGAUGAAAAGCACUUUGGAAAGAGAGUGAAACAGUACGUGAAAUUGUUGAAAGGGAAACGCUUGAAGUCAGUCACGCCGUUCGGGAUUCAGCCUUGCUUCUGCUUGGUUUACUUCCCGUUGGGCGGGUCAACGUCAGUUUUUGCCAGAGGAGAAAGGCCUGGGGAAUGUGGCAGCAUCCGUGCUGUGUUAUAGCCCCUUGUUGUAUACUUUGGCGGGGACUGAGGACCGCAGCGCGCCUUUACGGCCGGGGUCGCCCACGUACGCGC
rnacentral:rRNA from 1 species